UACGUAGGGUGCGAGCGUUGUCCGGAAUUAUUGGGCGUAAAGAGCUCGUAGGCGGCUUGUCGCGUCGGAUGUGAAAGCUCGGGGCUUAACUCCGGGUCUGCAUUCGAUACGGGCAGGCUAGAGUUCGGUAGGGGAGAUCGGAAUUCCUGGUGUAGCGGUGAAAUGCGCAGAUAUCAGGAGGAACACCGGUGGCGAAGGCGGAUCUCUGGGCCGAUACUGACGCUGAGGAGCGAAAGCGUGGGGAGCGAACAGG
rnacentral:rRNA from 1 species